CCAAUAGCGUAUAUUAAAGUUGUUGCAGUUAAAAAGCUCGUAGUUGAAUUUCGGGGCCAGUAGGUUGGUCGUGCCACUGGUAUGCACUGGCCUCACUGGUCCCUCCUUCUUGUAGAACCGUGAUGGCAUUAAUUUGUUGUUGCGGGGAAACAGGACUGUUACUUUGAAAAAAUUAGAGUGCUUAAAGCAGGCUCGCGCUUGAAUACAUUAGCAUGGAAUAACGAAAUAGGACGAUCGAACCUAUUUUGUUGGUUUCUAGGAUCGACGUAAUGAUUAAUAGGGAUAGUUGGGGGCAUUAGUAUUCAAUUGUCAGAGGUGAAAUUCUUGGAUUUAUUGAAGACUAACUACUGCGAAAGCAUUUGCCAAGGAUGUUUUCAUUAACCAAGAACGAAAGUUAGGGGAUCGAAGACGAUCAGAUACCGUCGUAGUCUUAACCAUAAACUAUGCCGACUAGGGAUCGGAUGAAGUUAAUUUUUUAAUGACUCAUUCGGCGCCUUACG
rnacentral:rRNA from 1 species